rnacentral:rRNA from 1 species
GCCAGAAUCAUAUGCUUGUCCCGAAGCUUAAGCCAUGCAUGUCUUAGAAGUAUAAUAGGAGGCGAUCCAUAAAUCUGCGAACGGCUCCGUAUAUCUGUUAUCACCCACGGCCACUAAAAAGAUCUCGGAUACCCACGGUAAUUCUGAGGCUAAUACGUAUACGUAGCUUGGGCCUCCAGGACAGGGCGCCCUCCGCAAGGGGGGCGCCUGGGCUAGUCGCUUGUUGCCGGGGGGUCCCGCAAGGGGUCCGCUGUCAUGAUGGCAGGCUAGUGCACCACACUGCGGGGGCGAUAUGUCCCGUAGGGUGCGCCAAGGGAGCCAGCCCUAUUAACUAGGUGUCCGGGUAAGGCCCGGCCGCGGUGAUAACGGGUACAGAGGAUCAGGGUUCGGUCCUGGAGAGGAAGCCUGAGAGAUCGCUUCUACUUCUAAGGAAGGCAGCAGGCGCGCAACGUUCCCAAUGGGGAUACCCUGAGGACGUGAGGGGAUAUAGCAAUGCCCCGCCCAUAAAGCGGGGCAAUUGCAAUGGGGGUCCACUAAACCCUCCACCGAGUAACAAUUGGAGGACAAGUCUGGUGCCAGCACCCGCG